CGAAGGGGCGUAGCGUUGUUCGGAAUUACUGGGGCGUAAAGCGCACGUAGGCGGAUAUUUAAGUCAGGGGUGGAAAUACCCAGAGCUCAACUCUGGAACUGCCUUUGAUACUGGGUAUCUUGAGUAUGGAAGAGGUGAGUGGAAUUGCGAGUGUAGAGGUGAAUUCGUAGAUAUUCGCAGGAACACCAGUGGCGAAGGCGGCUCACUGGUCCAUAACUGACGCUGAGGUGCGAAAGCGUGGGGAGCAAACAGGAUU
rnacentral:rRNA from 1 species